UACGGAGGGUGCGAGCGUUGUCCGGAAUCAUUGGGCGUAAAGGGCGCGUAGGUGGCCCGGUCAGUUCGUGGUGAAAGCGCGGGGCUCAACCCUGCGUCGGCCAUGAAUACUGCCGCGGCUGGAGCACUGUAGAGGCAGGCGGAAUUCCGGGUGUAGCGGUGGAAUGCGUAGAGAUCCGGAAGAACACCGGUGGCGAAGGCGGCCUGCUGGGGCAGUUGCUGACACUGAGGCGCGGACAGCGUGGGGAGCAA
rnacentral:rRNA from 1 species